UCUCUUGCUCGCUCCAUCUCUUUCCGUCCUUAACUCUACAACCUCACUAUGCUAAACCCUAGCCACGGUGGAUGAUAUCAUCCAACCAGCACGCACGGAAGCUGAAGUAGCAAGGCACGCACGGACGGUGCAGUGCGCACUGCACAGUCCGCAGACUGCAAGGUGCAAGCGGCAGGCCGGCGAGCCCCUUAUUCAUGCCUCCAAAUUUCAAUCGCUGCUGCCCUCCCUAAACCUAGGUCAUCCUCCAGUACCUCCUAUCCAGUCCAUUGCCUAAGUUUUUGUGCGAUCCUUGAUGGCUAUAAAAAGAUUUUGCGCCACCCCUAUUGAGGCAGAUGUUGUAACUGAGCAUAGAAGCUACUUGGAUGGCUUGAAGAAGAUCUGCACAUUUGUGAGCACAAUAUUCGGUCAGUUUUAUAUGCUAUUGUUGAUGAAGACAUGAGAGGCUGAAUGAAGUACUCAUUAAUUAGAUAAAUAUUUUUAUAUCAUUACAUGUUUUUAUGUAGUUCGUUGUUUCAUAUAAGCA